AUGCCUAAAAUUAUCUACUCUGCAUCGGAGUCUCUUAUAUUUCAACCCCUAGAUCCAUACAAAGCAUGUAAAAAAAUAAUCCUAUGUACCACCCUUGCUAGCUUCGUCGUGGGAGAUGACCACGACGUCCGUGCCGGGAGCCAGGUGGAUGGGCGCGUAGAAGGAUUACGGCUCCUCCUCCUCCUGCUCGACCUCAUCCAUGUAGGCGAACAUCUCCUUCUCCACGGCGUGUUGCGCCUUCAUUCCUACCGGCGACGGCGUCUCGCCUCCGUAUCCGGCUCCGAGCGGACGGAAUCGAGGAUGGCUUGCUGCUCCGCCUGCAGAUCCGCGUCCCCCACAUCCUCCUCCGGCACCUCCUCCUCCUCCUCCUCAACCUCCCCCUCCUCCUCCAACUCCUCCUAUGAAUCCACUUCAUCCGGAGGUAGCCUCGCUGCGAUCCGAGCUUCGCGCCUUGCCCGGAUUUGCUCAAGGAGCUCCAGCCGACACUCCGGCGUUAGAAAUGGGUAG
rnacentral:rRNA from 1 species